GUACACUCCUGCGGGAGGCAGCAGUGGGGAAUAUUGCACAAUGGGCGCAAGCCUGAUGCAGCGACGCCGCGUGGGGGAUGAAGGCCUUCGGGUUGUAAACUCCUUUCGCUAGGGACGAAGCUUUUUUGUGACGGUACCUAGAUAAGAAGCACCGGCUAACUACGUGCCAGCAGCCGCGGUAAUACGUAGGGUGCGAGCGUUGUCCGGAAUUACUGGGCGUAAAGGGCUCGUAGGUGGUUUGUCGCGUCGUCUGUGAAAUUCUGGGGCUUAACUCCGGGCGUGCAGGCGAUACGGGCAUAACUUGAGUGCUGUAGGGGUAACUGGAAUUCCUGGUGUAGCGGUGAAAUGCGCAGAUAUCAGGAGGAACACCGAUGGCGAAGGCAGGUUACUGGGCAGUUACUGACGCUGAGGAGCGAAAGCAUGGGUAGCGAACAGGAUUAGAAACCCCGGUAGUCC
rnacentral:rRNA from 1 species